rnacentral:rRNA from 1 species
AUCUUCCACAUGGACGAAGUCUGAUGGAGCAAUGCCGCGUGAGUGAAGAAGGGUUUCGGCUCGUAAAACUCUGUUGUUGAAGAAGAACGGGUGUCAGAGUAACUGUUGACAUCGUGACGGUAUUCAACCAGAAAGCCACGGCUAACUACGUGCCAGCAGCCGCGGUAAUA